rnacentral:rRNA from 1 species
CCCUUAGAUGUUCUGGGCCGCACGCGCGCUACACUGACGAAUGCAACGAGCUUAUAACCUUGGCCGAAAGGUCUGGGUAAUCUCCAAAUUUCGUCGUGAUGGGGAUAGAUUAUUGCAAUUAUUAAUCUUCAACGAGGAAUGCCUAGUAAGCGCAAGUCAUCAGCUUGCGUUGAUUACGUCCCUGCCCUUUGUACACACCGCCCGUCGCUACUACCGAUUGAAUGAUUUAGUGAGGACUUCGGACUGGGACCGAUGCGGCUUUCGGGCUGCGUCGGUAUUCUGGAAAGAUGUCCAAACUGUAUCAUUUAGAGGAAGUAAAAGUCGUAACA